CAGAUUGUCUUUCCUCUCCCUACUGUUUUCAUCACUUUCUAGCAUUCUUCCCAGUAUAUGUUUUCCAUGAGUACCUCAGCUGCCCACAUCAUUCACCCCUCUUUGUCCCCCGCUGUUAUGGGACUCUUCUUCAUGGAUAAGAAGGACAAAAACACUUCGGCCGUGCAUUGACUACCGGGACCUCAAUGACGUCACCAUCAAAAACAGGAAGUUUUCCCCUGCUGAGAGAAAUUAGGAUGUCAGCAACCAGGAGUUGUUGGCCAUCAAGCUGGCACUGGAGGAACGGAGGCUGAGCAACCCAAUCUGCAGUACAUCAGGAACAACUCUUGCCAAGCCAAGAAAACUCUGCAUCUGAGUCCCUGUUCUUACCAGAUUUGUUACAACUGUUGUUAAAUUGUAUGAUAAUCUGACUCAUUU